AUGCAUGGAAGUAUAUGGUGUAUUAAUGAGGUGGCAAUCUUAGAGUCAACUCUUUUCUCCUCAUGUUUUGUGGUUUGGGCCGAGAGAGGGACAAGAAAGAAAAGAGAUUGGGCCUUUUUAUGCUUAAGCCCAUAUUAUGAUCCAAUUAGAUGAUUUUUGGUCCAAUUGGUCCUUGGAAGAGGGUUCACGGCCCUAAUAAAUCAAGUAUAAGUUUUUAUGGCCCAUUAUGGCUAAUUAGGUUAGUUAUGGCCCAAUAAGGUCCAUUAGGGUAUUUUAUUUCAUUCUAGGCCCAAUAUGGCCCAAAAUAUUAAAAUAAAUGGGAGUGGGUCCAAUUAGAGCCCAUUUAAGAGUUCGAAGCCCAAGAUAGUCAAAUUGGAAGCUUAUUGGCCCAUUGGGCCCAAUAAGGAAGUCCUAGUCCAAAAUGGAUUUAAACCGGGAUUUCAAGGGUUUCCAAUUCUUUGUUGACUAUUUGCAGUGCUUGUAUAAAGUGUUUGAUGGAAGUUUUGUUGUUAUUGAAUAAACAUCAUACAUACUUUCACAUUUUUUCUUCACAUUUGUUAUCAUUGUUGUUGUCACAAGUAAUUUUAUGAUACUUCUUAACUAACAAUCCUCUAAUAUAAAACUCUUUAUUUUGAUUAGUACUUUCAAUAUGGCAAACCUUAGCAAACUUGAGUUUAUGGCUCUUGACAUUAGUGGAAAAAAAUAUUUAUCAUGGAUCCUUGAUGCUAAAAUCCACCUUGAUGCUAUGGGUCUUGGAAACACCAUAAAGGAUGUAAAUCCUUUAAAUGAAGCAUCAAGCCAAGAAAAGGCUAAGGCGAUGAUUUUCCUUCGCCACCAUCUCGAUGAUGGAUUAAAAGCUAAAUACCUUACUAUCAAAGAUCCAGCUGAUCUUUGGAAUAAUUUGAAAGAGAGGUAUGAUCAUCAAAAAACUAUGAUACUUCCUAGAGCUCGUUUUGAUUGGUUACACCUUCGGCUACAAGAUUUUAAAUCUAUGAGUUAGUAUAAUUCAGCCAUGUUCAAAAUUACUUCCCAACUAAAACUAUGUGGUGAGACUAUAACUGAUGAAGACAUGCUAGAGAAAACCUUCUCUACUUUUCAUGCUACUAACAUGGUCCUGCAGCAACAAUAUCGUGAGAAAGGGUUUAAAAAAUAUUGUGAAUUAAUCUCAUAUCUUCUUGUGGCUGAACAAAAUAAUGAGCUCUUAAUGAAAAAUCUCCAAUCACGUUCGACAGAUUCUAGUCCAUUCCCUGAAGUGAAUGCAACAUCAUCUAAUUAUAACGGAUGUGGGUCUAACCGUGUCCGUGGCCGUGAUCGUGGUCGAGGUCGUGGACGUGGUGGAGGCCGUCAUAAUAAUCUUCCCAACAAUAAUAAUAAUAUAAGUAACCACCAGAAGUGGGAAUGUAACAAAAACCCACAUCCUAAUGAUAAAAAUGGCCAAGGCAAAAAGAAAGUUGAAAAUGUUUGUCACCGAUGUGGAAUGACCGGUCAUUGGUCGCGUACAUGUCGCACUCCAAAGCAUUUUGUUGAUCUUUAUCAAGCUUCUCUAAAAUAUAAAGAAGGAAAAAAUGCGGAAACAAAUUUCGUUCAAAAUUAUUUUUACGAAGAUCAACUAGAAAUGGGACAUUUGAAUGUCGCCGAUUAUCUUGCCAACACGGAAGGGACAAACGGUGUUAUGGAUGGUGAUGGAAGUACCCAAUUUUUCCCAUAAAAGGAGAUGGAUAUGCCAUAUCAUGGAAUUGUUGGUUUUCUAGUAUCAUUUUAUUUUUGCAUUAUGUUUGUUUAGAGUCAUUGUCAUGCUCCAGAAUAAUAUGUAGUUUUGUUUAAUGUCUUUUAUGAUUUUUGUGUCAUAGUCGUUUCAUAAGAAGAGAUCUCGAUGAUUCUUCUCAAAAUAAUAAUACAUGACUUUAUUUCUCUAAGUUGAAUAUUUCUUAUUUCUUAUUAUCUUUAUUAUAUAUUUUUAUUUUGAAGAGAAAUAUGGAUAUUCGCAAAAGAAAUGAGGAAUAUAUAUGUCUUGCAAAUAGUGCAACAACACAUAGCAUUUUUAAUAAUGAAAAAUAUUCUGCUUACUUAUCAAUUAGAGAAGCAAAUGUUAAUACAAUAACGGGUAGUGCAAAAAUGAUUGAAGGCUCCGGAAGAGCGAAUAUCAUAUUACAACAAGGGACAAUAAUUACAAUUGGAGAUGCAUUAUUUUCAUCAAAAUCACCAAGAAAUUUAUUAAGUUUUAAGGAUAUUCGGUCCAACGGAUAUCAUGUUGAAACAACCAAUGAUGGUGAUAAAGAGUAUCUCAAUAUUACAAAAAUGAUAUCGGGUAAGAAAAGUCUUUUGGAAAAAUUACCCGUAUUGUCCUCCGGAUUGUAUUAUACAAAUAUUAGAAUGAUUGAAUCUCAUGCUAUUGAAAAUAAAAGGUAUGAUAACAUCUACAAAUUUUGGCAUGACUGGUUGGGCCAUCCCAGAUCAAUUAUGAUGCGCAAAAUAAUUGAAAGUUCAAGUGGUCAUUCCUUGAAAAACCAGAAGAUUUUUCAAGCUAAUGAAUUGUCUUGUGUUGCAUGUUCUCAAGGAAAAUUAAUUUCUCGUCCAUCAUUGAAUAAAGUUGGGUAUGAAAGUCCUAGUUUUUUAGAAAGAAUUCAAGGGGAUAUAUGUGGACCAAUUCAUCCACCAUGUGGACCAUUUAGAUAUUUUAUGGUCUUAAUUGACGCGUCAACUAGAUGGUCACACGUGUGCUUGUUAUCUAGCCGUAAUCUUGCUUUCGCAAGAUUACUAGCACAAAUAAUCCGCCUAAGGGCACAUUUUCCCGAUUACCCAAUUAAGAAAAUUCGACUUGACAAUGCUGGAGAAUUUACAUCACAAGCUUUUAAUGACUAUUGCAUGUCGAUUGGGAUAACUAUUGAACAUCCUGUUGCAUAUGUUCAUACACAAAAUGGUUUAGCUGAGUCGUUAAUCAAACGCCUUCAAUUAAUUGCAAGACCAUUACUAAUGCAUUCUAAACUUCCUACAUCGACAUGGGGACAUGCAAUUUUACAUGCGGCAUCACUUAUACGCAUCAGGCCAACUAGUUAUCAUAAGUUCUCCCCUAUUCAACUGGUUUGCGGCCAUGUACCAAAUAUUUCCCAUCUAAGGACGUUCGGAUGUGCAAUUUAUGUACCCAUUUCUCCACCUCACCGCACAAAAAUGGGUCCUCAAAGAAGAAUGGGAAUUUAUGUUGGAUACGAAUCUCCAUCUAUAGUAAAAUAUUUAGAACCAUCAACUGGAGAUUUAUUUACAGCUAGAUUUGACGAUUGUCAUUUUGAUGAAUUAGUUUUUCCAACAUUAGGGGGAGAAAUAAAGAAGCUGGAGAAUAAAAUCUCUUGGAAUGAAUUAUCACUUUCAGUUUUAGAUCCUCGUUCAAGUCAAUGUGAACUUGAAGUGAAAAAGAUAAUUCAUUUACAAAAUAUAGCAAAUCAAUUGCCAGAUGCAUUUACUGACCCUAAGAGAGUAACAAAGUCUCAUUUACCAGCUGUAAAUGCUCCAGUUAGAAUUGAUAUACUAGAAGGAAAAAAUACAACUACAAAUGAAUCAAAGGCACGCCUAAAGCGUGGAAGACAAACCGGUUCCAAAGAUAAAAAUCCUCGAAAACGAAAGGGAGCAAAUAUAAUUUAAAUGGUCCAAAAGAGAAAACAGAAUCUUUUGAAAAGAUUAAUGAAGCUCCAAAAGAGCCCAAUGACAUAACAAAAGAAACCGGGGUACCUGAAAAUUAUGAAAAUGAAGAGAUCUCAAUAGAUUAUGUCAUGACAGGAAUAAGAUGGAACCGAAAUAAGAUAGACGUCGACGAUAAUUUUUCAUAUCAUGUUGCGUGCGAGAUUAUGGAAGAAAAUGAGGAUGUUGAACCUAAAUCUAUAGAUGAAUGUAGAAAUAGAAAAGAUUGGCCAAAAUGGAAAGAUGCAAUAAACAAAGAGCUUAAUUCUCUUACUCAACGAAAAGUUUUUGGACCUGUAGUCCGUACACCAAACGGAGUAAGACCNAAGACUAGUGGGACACAAAUGGGUAUUUGUGCGCAAAAGAAACAAGAAGAAUGAAGUUGUGAGAUAUAAAACAAAACUUAUUGCACAAGGUUUUACCCAAAGGCCUGAAAUUGAUUAUUAAGAAACAUACUCUCUUGUGUUUGAUACAAUCACAUUCCGUUAUCUAAUAAGUCUGGUAACGCAUGAAAAAUUGGAGAUGCAUCUGAUGGAUGUAGUUACCGCCUAUUUAUAUGGUUCACUUGAGAAUGAUAUUUAUAUGAAAAUCCCAGAAGGGUUUAAGGUGCCAGAAGCACAAACUCCUAAUUCUCGUGAAGUAUAUUCGGUAAAAUUAAAUAAAUCUUUGUAUGGAUUGAAACAAUCUGGUCGUAUGUGGUUCAAUUGUUUAAGUACAUUUCUUUUAAAAGAGGGCUAUAAAAAUGAUCCAUUAAGCCCAUGUGUAUUCAUAAAAAGCUCUGAAUUAGAAUUUGUGAUAAUUGUUGUUUACGUAGAUGAUUUGAACAUAAUUGGAACUCCUGGAGAAUUGGAAAAUACUACUUCUUGUUUGAAAGAAAAAUUCGAAAUGAAAAAUCUUGGUAAAACGAAAUUUUGUUUGGGUCUUCAAAUUGAGCACACCAAAAAUGGAGUUUUUGUAAUCAAUCUAGUUAUCUAGAAAAGGUGCUUAAAAGGUAUUAUAUGGAUAACUCACAUCCAUUGAGUACCCCGAUGGUAGUAAGGAAUUUAGAUGCCGAAAAGGACCAAUUUUGGCCUUGUGAAAAACAUGAAAAACUUCUUGGUCCCAAAGUACCAUAUCUUAGUGCUAUUGGUGCACUAAUGUAUCUUGCUAAUAAUACGAGACCUGAUAUAUCUUUUGCUGUAAACUUAUUAGCAAGAUAUAGUUCUUGCCCAACAAGAAGACAUUGGAAUGGAGUCAAACACAUUCUUUGAUAUCUUCGAGGUACAAUGGAUAUGGGCUUAUAUUAUUUAAAUUCAUCAAAUGCGGAGUUAAUUGGUUAUGCAGGUGCUGGAUAUUUGUCUGAUCCACACAAAGCUCGAUCCCGAGAAUUAAGAAGAAGAAGAGAGAGGGUUGAGGUGACCAUCAUAGAUGCAUGUUGGUCCAUGCAUGGAAGUAUGUGGUGUAUUAAUGAGGUGGCAAUCUUAGAGUCAACUCUUUUAUCCUCAUGUUUUGUGGUUUGGGCCGAGAAAGGGACAAGAAAGAAAAGAGAUUGGGCCUUUUUAUGCUUAAGCCCAUAUUAUGAUCCAAUUAGAUGAUUUUUGGUCCAAUUGGUCCUUGGAAGAGGGUUCACGGCCCUAAUAAAUCAAGUAUAAGUUUUUAUGGCCCAUUAUGGCUAAUUAGGUUAGUUAUGGCCCAAUAAGGUCCAUUAGGGUAUUUUAUUUCAUUCUAGGCCCAAUAUGGCCCAAAAUAUUAAAAUAAAUGGGAGUGGGUCCAAUUAGAGCCCAUUUAAGAGUUCUAAGCCCAAGAUAGUCAAAUUGGAAGCUUAUUGGCCCAUUGGGCCCAAUAAGGAAGUCCUAGUCCAAAAUGUAUUUAAACCGGGAUUUCAAGGGUUUCCAAUUCUUUGUUGACUAUUUGCAGUGCUUGUAUAAAGUGUUUGAUGGAAGUUUUGUUGUUAUUGAAUAAGCAUCAUACAUGCUUUCACAUUUUUGGUUCAGAUUUGUUAUCAUUGUUGUUGUUACAAAGCAUCAAAAUUCCUAGUUGUGACAUCAUCCCCCCCGUUAGAGGGAAUUUCGUCCUGAAAUUCUUUUGAAAGCUAUAUUUGAGAAUGUGAGAAUAGGUGAGGGUACUUCUGCUUCAUUUGGUCUUUGCGUUCCCAUGUGAAUUCUGGCCCACACUUUGCGUUCCACCAUACCUUCACAAUCAAAAUGCGGCUUUGCUUAGUACGCUUCACCUCCAUGUCCAUGAUUUCGACUGGUUCUUCGACGAACAGGAGAUUCUCGUUGAUUUCUAUUUCUUCAAGGGGAAUGACGAGGAUUUCGUCGGAUAAACACUUUUUCAAAUUUGAAACAUGGAAUACAGGGUGUAAACUGCUAAGCUCAGCGGGUAGCUGCAGUCUAUACGCCACUGGACCGAUUCGGGCAAGAAUCUCGAAAGGUCCAAUGUAUCGUGGAUUCAAUUUUCCCCGUUUUCCAAAACGAAUAACCCCUUUCCAGGGAGAGACUUUUAACAAGACCCGAUCCCCGACUUGAAACUCCAAGGGCUUUUGCCGUUUAUCAGCGUAGCUCUUCUGUCGAUCGCGUGAUGCUUGUAGUCGAGCUCUGAUUUGAACUAUCUUUUCUGUUGUUUCACGUAUGAUAUUCGGUCUCGUUAACGCCUUGUCUGAUGUCAGUCCUCUCACUAGCUGGGUGUCACCUACCUCAGCCCAACACUACGGUGAUCUACAUUUACGUCCAUACAACGCCUCGAAAGGAGCAACUUUGAUGCUCGUGUGAUAAAUGUUGUUGUACGAGAAUUCGAUUAAGGGUAAGUGGGUAUCCCAUGACUUUCCAAAGUCUAGCACACAUGCGCAAAGCAUGUCUUCAAGCAUUUGAAUGGUUCGCUCGCUUUGACCAUCCGUUUGCGGAUGAUAAGCAGUGCUCAUGUCGAGAUGUGUUCCCAGUGCUUUUUGAAGUGAUUUCCAAAAGCGUGAAGUGAAUCUACUAUCUCUAUCCGAGAUGAUAGAUACUGGCACUCCGUGGAGUCUCAUGAUUUCCUUGAUGUAUAGCCUUGUCAACCUCUCCAUCUUAUAGGAUUCUUUUAUUGGCAGGAAAUGAGCGGAUUUCGUCAAUCUGUCGACUAUUACCCAUAUGGUGUCCACUCCAUCUUUUCACUUGGGUAAUUUGGUCACAAAGCCCAUAGUAAUCCUUUCCCAUUUCCACUCAGGAAUUACUAGUUGCUGCAAUCAUCCCGAGAGCUUCUGAUAUUCCACCUUCACCUUAGCACAAGUAAGGCAUUUGCUAACAUAGGUGGCAAUCUCUGCCUUCAUGUUGGGCCACCAAUAGUGUUGCUUAAUAUCCAAGUACAUUUUGUCUAAACCCGGAUGGAUGGAGUAUCGUGUCUUGUGGGCUUCAUUCAUGACUACCUCUCUGAAUCCCCCAAGUUUAUGGACCCAAAUGCAGUUCUUGAAAUAAUAUGCUCCGCCCUCUUUCACUUUGAGAUUCUUUUCCAUUCCACGUAACGCUUCGCUCAUUCUGUUUUCUACCUUCAUGGCAUCUGACCGGGCUGUUCUGAUUUGCGAGGUCAGGUGGGAUGGGAUUGGAUGGUUAUCGAGAGAGUUUUCACACGACGAUUCGAGUAUUCUUUCUGACUCAAGGCAUCAGCUACUACGUUAUCCUUGCAUGGGUGGUACUUGAUUUCACACUCAUAAUCGUUUAGUAGCUCAACCCAUCUUCGUUGCCUCAUGUUCAACUCUUUUUGAUUUAGGAUGUGUUGGAGGCUCUUGUGGUGUGUGAAAAUGGUGCACUUUGUACCAUAAAAGUAAUGCCUCCAAAUUUUUAAGGCGAAGACCACGACUCCCAAUUCCAGAUCGUGGGUUGUAUAAUUCACCUCAUGUGUCUUUAGUUGUCAGGAUGCAUAAGCUAUUACCUUCCCACGCUGCAUAAGUACGCAACCUAGACCCUAAUUCGACGCAUCACAGUAAACUACAAAGUCCUCUGUUCCUUCUAGUAGUGAUAGUAUUGGUGCACUACAGAGUGCUUGUUUCAGAGUUCGAAAUGCAACCUCUUACUUAUUUGUCCAUUAGAAGGGAACACCCUUUUGUGUAAGCAUGGUAAGUGGCUUGGCUGUCUUAGAGAAGUUUUGGAUGAACCUCCUAUAAUAACCUGCAAGACCUAAAAAUUAACGAAUUUAUGUGGGUGUCGUUGGGGUCGCCCAUCCUUCAAUGGAUUUGACCUUAGAAGGAUCCACGUGUAUCCCUUCUUGACUAACAACAUGACCCAAAAAGUUCACACUGUGGAGCCAGAACUCACACUUAGAGAGUUUUGCGUAUAGUUUCUCGGUUCGCAGGGUUUCCAGGAUUUUUCGGAGAUGUUGGUCGUGCUCCUGUUCGUUUCGAGAGUAAACUAGAAUGUCAUCAAUGAAAACGAUGACAAAUUUUUCAAGGAAUGGUUUGCAGAUUUGAUUCAUUAGGUCCAUGAAUGUGGCAAGGGAAUUCAUUAGACCGAAGGGCAUUACAACAAAUUCAUAAUGUCCAUAAUGAGUUCGGAAAGCAGUUUUGGGGAUGUCCUCUUCUCGGACCUUGAGUUGAUGGUACCCAAAUCGUAGAUCUAUCUUAGAGAAAUAGCUUGCGCCUUGAAGUUGGUCAAAUAGAUCGUCGAUUCGCAGGAGUGGAUAGCGAUUUUUUACAGUGAGCUUAUUUAGUUCCCUGUAGUCAAUGCACAUCCUAAAAGAUCUGUCUUUCUUCUUAACAAAGAGAAUUGGAGCUCCCCAUGGUGAUAAAAUGGGUCGAAUGAAUCCUUUGUCCAAAAGUUCACUGAGUUGGCUGGACAAUUCUUGCAUCUCCGCAGGAUCCAAUCGGUAAGGUGAUUUGGCAAUGGGAGUAGCUCCUGGCACAAGAUCAAUUUGAAACUCGAUUUGUCUUUCUGGGGGUAUCCCUGGAAGAUCUUCAGGAAAUACAUCUGAGAACUCACAAGCUACUGGAAUGUCUUGAAUGUUGACCUUUUCCUUGGAUUUAUCCACUAUAUGAGCCAGAAACGUCAAGUCCUUCUUUCGCAGAUACUUAUGUGCCUUAAUGCACGAUAUAAGACGAAGGUUUGUGCUAGGUUUGUCUCCGUAUAUAAUUAGGGUUUCGCGAUUCGGAAGGUGAAGGCGAACAGCCUUCUCGUGACACACAAUCUUAGCAUGGUGGGGGCUUAACCAAUCCAUGCCAAUAAUCACAUCAAAACACCUAAUGGAAACAAGCAUUAAGUUUAUUCGAAAGACGUGUUGGUUUAAGGCUAGGGUGCAUCCGAUAUAGAUUUCCCCAGUGGAUUCUGUUUUCCCAUUUGCCAUUUCCACCGUAAAGGUUUCAUUAAGCUUCUGGGUUGUUGUUUUAACAAGUGUUUAAAUUUAUUGCUCACAAAGUUUCGUUCUGCUCCGGUAUCAAAUAGGAUGCAUGCAUAAGUGUGGUUUAGGAGAAACGUACCGGUGACAACAGCGGGAUCCUGAACCACUUCUCCCUGACCCAUUGUCAGCACUCUUCCUGUUGCUCCAUUCCCAAGCUUGUUGUUGUUGGAGAAGUUUCGACGGAAAUGCCCAUUCUUUCCACAUCCAUAGUAGGUGUGGCUCGGUCCUGCAUUGUUGCCGUUGUUGUUGUUGUUGUUGUUGUUGUUGUUGUUGUUAUUGUUGUUGUUGUUGUGGUUGUUGUUGUUAUUGUUUCCUUGCUGCUGGUUCUGGGGAGGAUUGGUCCUGCAAUAUUUUGCCGUGUGACCCUUUCGAUUGCAGCUGGUGUAAUGCAUCUCUCUGAAUUCUCCAUUAUGAUGGAGACUGCACUUGUUACACUUUGGAAGAGUUCCAGAAUACUACCUAGGAGCACUUGGAGCAGCUGAGAUUGGAGCAUGUGGUGCGGAAGGAACUUGGGUGGUUAUAGCAUUGACUGUCAUUGUUUGUUGCUUCUUGAACGAUUCCGAGCCUUGACGUCCCUUCCUCUUGUUGUUCUUUCCUUUCUUGUUGUCACUCUCUGUCACACCCCAAAACCGAGAACGGUGGAAACGUUCUGGGGCAGAGGACGUCAUGUAAUGUAUGAAAACAAUGUAAAGUAGUAAACAAGCAACAACAUCAUCCAUUGCAUUAAUAUUAUAAUUUUAAUUACAAGUGUGUUCUUUCAUAGUAUAAGACAAAAUGAUAAAUAAUCAAAAUAAAAGAGGAGUCUUGAUUUCUCCGUCUUCACAAAACCUGGUCGUCGUACCUGUCUAUUUGUGACCUAAGAAUACAAGUUAUUUUGAAAGCGAGUAUCAACAAUAAACCUGGUGAAUUCAUAAGUAUUAAUGUGUCUUUGAUUUGUAAAACUGGAAAGUAAAGACUUGUAAACAUUUGGAGAAAAGUUUGUAUAAGUAUGAAAAUACUUGUAAGUAGUUGUAAACGUUUGAAAACCCUAGAAAAUCCCUAUGAUUCCUACUAGUAUAAAAAGUAAUCUUCUACCAAGACCUAACUGUUUUGAAAGUAGCCUUCUACCAAGACCUAACUGUUUUGAAAGUAGCAUUCUACCAAGACCAGACUGUACGCCUAUUAUUAUUAUUUUCUACCUCAUCGAUUAUGUGAAUAUGACACAUGGUAAAGGUAUUAAUAUAAUAACCGGAUUUUUAAUCCAUUUGCAAUUGUCGUAUGCACCGUGUAAGUACUGUAGUAUUUGUAAUAAGUGACUACUUUGUACUAAUUUGCCUUAAUUGAGGGUUAAGGCAUAAUGUCAUGGCUAGAACCCAUACUAUACGCUCUCUAUCAAGAGAUUUUGGGAACCAAACACGAACCUGCAUUUCUACAAGCCGUGAACAUCCACAUUACUAUGAUCAUGUAUACCCAAUAUAAUAAUCACAAUGCAGCAGUGAUUCAUUGGUAUAGUUAGAUCCUAAACUUGUUCCAUGCUAUAGCACCUUGUUAUGUUAGUUCUGUUAUUGUGUAUUGUAAGCGUAUCUGUGUAAGCGUAUUCAUGUAAACGUAUCUAUGUAAACGUAUUCAUGUAAGCGUAUCUAUGUAAACGUAUUCAUGUAACCGUAUCUAUGUAAGCGUACCUAUGUAAACGUAUUCAUGUAAGCGUAUAUAUGUAAGCGUAUUCAUGUAACAUGUAAUGCAUUAGUAUAGACUCAUGAAUGAACUGACUCUUGUGUGAUUCCUUGUACUUGGAAUGGUAAAUAGUAUCUCCUAACUACACCUAUUAUAGUUACUAGUGACGUACGAGUAUAAACGGAAGUAUACCUUUGCUACCCAAAGGUACUGAACUGACUAAGGGAACCUUUAUACCUAUAUAUGUACACAUGAUAUAUAAUUAAUAUUUAGACGACAUUCGGACGAGCAACCGAUGCCCUAAGGCCACAUCCCAACGAGGAAAAGGAAAUAAAGCGAGUUAGCCAUCCUAAGUCCUUUAAACAUUAUUUAUAUAAAUAUACAUAUCUAGGCAUGCAUUUCACAAUAUAAAAGCAUAAAAUAAGUUUCGUAAAACCUUUGAAAAGUUUAAUACUAAGAAACGAUGACUUGAUGUCAGUUUAUAAAACAAUUUGAAAGUAUUUUAUUUGAUAAGACAGUUUAAGUAUAAGGAAAACCUUUGUUUGAAAACACAUUUAUAAUAGAGUUUGAAAGGAAACAUAGAGUAUGUAAGUCAGUUUGAUAAAGAGUUUUAAACAUGUAAAAACGUUUAAGAAAGUUAUUUGAAGAAAUCAGUUUGGUAAAACAGUUAACGUAUAGUAAAUCCAUUUGCAUGCUAGUUAUUAAUCACAUGUGAUUGAUAUAAUAACUAAACAUGAUUCAACUUGUAUUCCCCCAUAAAGCAUUUAUAAACAUUUAAAAAAUUAAUUAAGGGGUAUCAACUCGACUGCAGUGAGCAGAUCGGAUGGAAGUGUCGGACAAGUGCUUGGUGUCAAGUGAAGACUUAGACACACACAAUGAUCCUUAUAAAAUAUGAAGACAUAUGNUAAUAACAUAUGAAUACAUAUAUAUAUAUAUAAUUAGUGAUUAUAACACUGAUUAAACAUGUAUAAACAUCCUAAUGUGAGGAAAACACGUUGGUCAUAGUGUUAGGAGGCUAUCGAGUUGCAACAAAGGAGUGCAAGGCCUUAUACGGGAGUUUAUGGUCAAUGGACCAUGCUUGCUGGAGUUUACGGCCCAAGGGAGUUUACUCAUAGCCGUAAAGUCUCAAUUGGGUCACCAAAUGAGGCUUAAAACUAUUAUAACUUAAGUGGUUAAGUGUUUCAAAGCUUAAACAAGAGGUUGGGUGGGUUUAAGGUCCAAGAAUGACCUUGUAUGGUGUUUACGGUCUGGGGACCACUUCCCUAUGAGUUUACGGCCAUAAACUCAUGGUAAGAAGCACCAUUUCGUGUAUUGAAGUCCUUAGUUCAAUGGUGUAAUGUUCUAUGCUAAUAUCCAAGGCUUACUAAGGUGUUAGGGGCAUCAAAACACCCUUUGGGGGUGUUUAUGGUUUUGGGAGAUUCCCAAACCGUAAACUCAUGUUCAUGGGGGUUUUUGGUGUUUUUCAAGUGCUAAACUCAUCAAGGGAAGGAUCUAUGCUAGCUGUCAAAGCUUAGAAGGAACUAGGGAACACUUUGGCACCCAUUUUAGGGUUUAUAGUCCAAGAACACCUUGGACCGUAAAACACUUGUUCUUGGUGUUUCUUGGAUGAUUUCUUGAUAUAUGGAAGUAAAACAAGCCUUAAUAUACUCUAGGAUAGAAGUACUUACAGUUUGGACGAAAGCUUGAAGAUCCUUGGGAGAGAAAUCGAGUUUUCUCUAGUUGAAAUGGAAGAAAUGAAGGAAAAAUGGCUAAGUGCCAUAUAUAUAGUCUUUAGGGUUUACGGUCCAAAUACCAUUUGGGCCGUAAAAUCCAAACUCUUGGAGUUUUGAGACUUCUAAGAGGCACAAAAUGCCCUAGAGUAUAUGUCCUAUGUUUACCUCUUGAAGGGUUAAAGCUCAGAAUGCUCAAACGGACACCAAACGUGCUAAAAGGUAGCAGAAAUGAGUUUGACUUUCUAUGAAGUUUUUGACUGUACAGGAUAGAAAAUUUUGAGUUGUCACACUCUCCUUCUUUCCUUCAGCCUCCACCAGCUUCUCACCCUUCUUGUUGUUGUGGUCGUACAGUUUCUUCGCCAAUCUCUUGGCACUGUCGAAGGUUUCGGGAUUUGCUGCUAUCACAUUUCCUUGGAUUGGGGAGGUUAAUCCCCAGAUGAAUUGUUCGAUUUUCUUUCCCUCCGAAGUAAUCAUGCCAGGGAACAACAUAGACAGUUCGCUAAACCUUGAUCUGUAUGCGUCAAUGUCAGAAUUUCGGAUGGUGAGAUUCCACAACCCUUGUUCCAUCUUCUGAAUUUCGCCUCACGGGCAGUACUCGGCCAUCAGCAUUUCUUUCAUCUCCGCCCAUGGCAUAGAGUUGGCUACGGGAAGAGUCAUGGCUUCUACGUGUCCGUUCCACCAAGUGAGAGCUUGAUCAAUGAAAGUGCAUGCGGCAAACUUCACCUUCAUUUCCUCAGGGCAUUCGCAUAUCUCGAACACCGAUUCCAUCUUCUCGAUCCAUCUUUUCAGAUUUAACAUUCACCCAGUGCCAUUAAAGAUUUGUGGCUUGGCAUUGGUGAAAUCUUUGUAGGAGCAUGUCUUGGUGGGUACAUGAUUUAUUCCGUUGUUUGAACUUCCAGCCCCUUGUCCAUUGACUCCAGCAUUGUUCCCUUGGUGGAUUUGCGCCAUGGCUGCAGUGACCGCAACAGAUACAGCUGCUUGGAAUGCAGCUGAGUUGACUUCGGGUGGGGUUGGCCCAGGGGUUCCGCGGGUUGGUCGUUGAGGCAUCUUUCUGUCAUAGAACGGAAAGAUGUUGAGUGCCUAUGGUUUUUGUGAGAUUGUGGUCCUAUAGACUAGGUGUGUGGCACGAACUUAAGUAAUUUCACAAAGUAGCAUACAAUCAUGGAUAUAUAACACAUAGUAGAUUACAACAUCCUAGUAGAACACAUAAAAUUUUCCAUUAAUAUUAUCUGCACUUUGAUACAUGAAAAUUUUGCUAGAAAAGGCAUACAUAAGUGGUGCAAGUUUGACAGUGUAACAACUCUAUGAGUAGUGUAAUCACUUAAACAUAGAGUCGAUGGUACAUAGCAUAGAUCAUAGUAACAUAAUACUAAAUACGGAUACAACUAGUCCUAGUCAUGGUGGGAUGUGCCAGGGGGUGGUGCCGAGGAAGUGGACGCUCCCUGAACGCGAGCCACCUGUCAUUCCACAUCUCGGAGUCGAGCCUCCUACCAUACCUGCCUCAUGUGGAACUUUCAGAUAACCUCUUGUGUCUCCUGCUUUGCACGCUCGACCCUAGUCUGCAUCUGGUGCAUCUGAUCGGCAGUUAUCUAAGCUAGAUCGCCAUUGUUCCGCAAUCGCCUUACCAUGACCGGAAGCACACGAUCAGCCAGUCCUCCCUCCCUCAAGUCAUAGAACUCGCGUGACAUGCCGAAUGGGGGUCGCUGUCCCUGCUGUCUACUCCACCUCCAAAGGUCGAUAUCCCACGGGGGGUGUAGGACCAGUGGGGCCCAUCCGAUAAGCGGACACCCUAAUCAGAUAAGGGAGGUUGAUGACUUCGGACUCCACGUCCGAAUCACCAUCUUCGUCAUCACUGGGUUCCUCCUCGAGGCCUCCUUCGACUUCCUCUUCUUCCUGGCCCACCAAUGGCUCAGCAGGUCCGCCCUCGACUUCUGCCUCAGGUUCCCCUUCGGAUUCCUCCUCGGGUUCCUCUUCAGACUCCUCCUCGGGUGAGACAUCCCCAAAAUCACGGCCAGAAAAGACCGAUUUUCUUUAUGCUUUGUUUAGAAAAUCAGAGUAACAUUUUAAAUAAAAGUGUUGCGGAAUUUGUCCCAAAACAAAAUAUGAUAAAGUUUUCUCAAAAGCAUUUCCACAGAAAUGUAUUUCAUUAAAAGACUUGGGAUGUCAUGUUCGUACAGAUCAAAAGCAUAAACAGUACAAUAUAAGCCUUACUACAUUAUUUCAUAUCUACAUGCCUAUAUCCAUAAUCCCUCGUCCAAACAUCAUAUCUAUGCUCAAGCGCCACUACCUGUAAUACAUAAAACUGAGUGGGUCAGGCUUGGAAGCCUGGUGAGCACGUAGGGUUUUCAACCCACAAUAAAUAAGUUUAUUAAUUUCAUCAAUCAACAAUAACCCAAUUACCCGUUCCUGUUAUCCUCACUUUACGUCCCUAAACACCUAUCAUAAGGGACCUAGCCUAAGGAUCAUUAUCGGGAUGGACACUAUUGCUAAGGGGAUUCCUCGGCAAUAAAUGUCCUAAAGGCAACCAUGUGGGGGAUGGAGUACACCGGUGAACACAUCGUUCACAAACACCUACAGGUUGCGAGCCUGCUAGUGUUCCACUGGACUGUCUAGAAGAGUCCGUGGUCGUCAUCCAUACUCCGCUAGAUGACAGAAUCAACAACAUCAACAUCGAGGCCUCUCAUCAUUUUAUCACACAUCACCUAUUACAUCUACCCAUGUUUUACCCUAACAUUUUCGUAGAUAUAAAAUACAUAUACAGUUUAAAUCAUUGAAAACAUGUAUAACAAUGUUCAUCCAGCAUAGAUAGCAAGUAUUCAGAUAAUAUGCACACAUAGCACGUAAUUUAUAUAAAAUACUUCAUAUCUAUGUGUAAGUUGAAAGUAACUAUGCACUCACUUGUUAAGGUGAUGAUUCCAAAAUCGGGCAGCGCUUGCUUCUAACGAUUCUAUUUUCCUUCGACGAAACCUAGCAUUAUUAUCGCUAAAUUUUAGUCUAAUAUUUACCGUGACCAACUAUUAGUCUUAGUAUUAUUAUUAUUAUAUAAGCGUUAAACAAUAUUUUCCAACCACUAUGUACAGACAGGGGCCAGACAUAAAACACCGGAGGGCAGGACCAUUUUGGCAUAUAGCACUUCUGAAAUCCAACAACCCUAUGCGGCCCUUUAAACCAGAUUCCCCGUACCGCGAGUAGUUAAAAAAAAUAUUAUAACGACACUUAUAUAAGUUAUAAUAAUAGCUCAAAUAUUUAUUAUAAGUUCAUAAUAACAAUACUAAUUUUAAAUAUAAGCUAUAUUAAAAUAAGGUAAGCAUAACUUACUUACAAGGGGGUUUUAGCUAGGAGUCGGGCUCUGCAGGGGCAGAACUUCGUCGCUGAAUCUUUCUAAGAAAGAUUCGUGCAGCGCUUCAGCGCUCACCUUACUAUACUAAGCUACAGAAAGAGAAGUCGAAUCACGAGGGACCGAAAUGCUCGGGGGAUAAGGAGAGAAAGACUCUUGAAUCAAGAGAAUGGUGCAAGAAAUAUGAGAGCCCAAGGCUCUUAUUUAUACUAAUUGAAUUUUCAAAAACUACCCUCCAUAAUUACUUAAUGACCUUUUAGUUAUAUAAACAACUAAACACCCCUCUAUAAUACUAUUAUAAAUGGAUUUAAUGAUAUUUGUACUAAACUAAUGUCGAAAGAACUCAACAUUAGUCUUAUAAUGACCGCAUCGUCGAUACCUUUCUAAUGAUAUAUACAUAUGUAUAUAUAUGUGUACGUAUACAUGAUUUAUACUUUAUUUUAAUACGUAAAUAUGCUAUUAUAAUUUGUAACUCGUUCAUACGAACUCCGUUUUUGACGUUCUUUAUAUCCACGCGUAGGUGAAGACGUACUCUACAACUUUCGUUUAGACUCCGUCGGCUAAUUUUGACUUUAUUUUUAAAGUUAUAUUUUUAACAAGCCGGGACAGGAUUGGUCUGUUUAAAAUCUCAUAACUUCUUCAUACGAAGUCAGAUUUGGGCGUUCUUUUUAUCGAUGUUCUUAGUUUAACAUAUUCUACGACUUUCGUUUAGAUCACUAAGGCUAAAUCUCGCUCUAUCGUAAAUUCACUAUUCACGCUUCCCGGUAUCGUGCCGGUUCUGUCGUGAAACUUCGACGGGUCAUAACUUCUUCGUUAUAACUCGGAUUUCGGCGUUCCUUAUAUGCACGGAAACCUUGAGACAUAUUCUACAACUUUAUGUAGAGAUAUCGGGAUUAUCUCACACUUUAAUUUUGACGCUCAUUUUUAUUCUUUAUUAAUUAUACAUUUAUAAUUAAAUAAUAAACACAUAUAAUUCACAUAAUACUCAAAUAUUUCAUCUUUAUUACUUCAAAAAGAGUUACAAGAGUUGACCUAGACUAUUACAUUGACAAAAAUGCUUAGCCCUGAAACCCGGGCGUUACAAUUCUCUCCCCCUUAGGAUGAUUCCGUCCCGGAAUCAUGCAUCAGCAAACAGAUGUGGAUAGCGACUCAUCAUGUCAUCCUCUGUUUCCCAAGUGAGAUUCGGCCCAUUCGAAUGUUUCCAUCGGACUAGCACCAAGUCGACCAUCUUGCGUCGUAACUUCUUAGUCUUACGGUCAACAAUUGCCUCAGGCUCUUCGAUCAACCUUUUAUUUUCAUCCAUCCUUAACUCUGAGAUUGGAAUUAUGUCGGGAACAUCUCCCGUGAAUUUCCUCAAAUAACACACAUGGAAGGUGUUAUGAAUACCAUUGAGUUCUUCGGGCAAUUCCAGCUUGUAAGCUUGGUUCCCUAUCUUCUGAAGAACUUUGAACGGUCCAAUAAACCUUGGACUCAACUUUCCUCGUUUCCCAAAUCGUAUAAGUCCCUUCCACGGUGAGACUUUAAGCAAAACGGAAUCCCCAACUUCGAAAGUUAUCGGUCGUCUUUUCUUGUCAGCAUAGCUCUUCUGACGAUCCUGGGCUGCUAACAUCCUUUCCCUAAUCACCUUCAACUUCUCAGCAGUCUCAUGGACUAUCUCGGGGCCCAUAAACUGCUUCUCUCCGGCUUCAAGCCAACAAGACGGCGUACGACACUUCUGCCCAUACAAGGCUUGAUAAGGAGCCAUCUUGAUGCUCGAGUGAAAACUAUUGUUGUAGGAAAAUUCUACCAGAGGUAAGUGCUCGUCCCAAUUCCCUUGGAAUUCGAGGGUACAUGCUCUCAGCAUAUCUUCCAGCGUCUGAAUCGUUCUUUCGCUCUGACCAUCAGUUUGCGGAUGAUAAGCAGUACUCAAACACAACUUUGUACCUAACUCCUCUUGUAGACUCCUCCAAAACCUUGACGUGAAACGACUAUCACGAUCUGAUACAAUCGUAAGAGGGACACCGUGAAGUCUUACAAUUUCCUUCACGUAAGCAUUUGCGAGCUUAUCCAUAGACCACUUCUCGUUGGCUGCUAUGAAGUGUGCACUCUUGGUGAAACGAUCCACGACUACCCAAAUCAUGUCGUGACCGUUCUUCGUCCUGGGCAGUUUAGUCACAAAAUCCAUGGUGAUGUCUUCCCAUUUACCCAUGGGUACAGGUAAAGGUUCUAAACUCCCAUACGGUUUCUGAUGUUGUGCCUUAACCCUCGCACAUGUUACGCACUCGGCCACAUACUUCGCAACAUCGAGCUUCAUCGUUGGCCACCAGUAGUAGGGUUUUAGGUCCCUAUACAUUUUAGUGCUACCGGGAUGAAUCGAGUACAUGGUCUUGUGUGCUUCUUCCAUCAGAAGAUCUCUUAUUCCUCCCGUCUUAGGUACCCAAAUUCGAUCUUGGAAUACCUUCAGUCCUCGACUGUUUGUACCGAACACUAACGUUCUUCCCAAACGUUCUUCCCUUCGGUCAUUCUUCUCUAAAGCUUCUUCUUGGGCUUUCCUGAUAAUUUCCACAAUAGUCGAGACAACUUCAAUUCUUAACGCUCUUGGCUUUUCCUUUCGAGAUUGACUUUCCGACUAAGAGCAUCAGCAACAAUAUUUGAUUUACCUGGGUGGUAAAGUAUCUCACAGUCGUAUUCCUUGAGUAGUUCUAGCCAACGUCGUUGCCUCAUGUUCAACUCCUUCUGAUUAAAGAGAUACUGGAGACUCUUAUGAUCAGUGAAGAGCUUGCACUUCGUGCCGUAGAGGUAAUGCCUCCAUAUCUUUAAGGCAAAAACUACCGCUGCCAACUCCAGAUCAUGAGUGGGGUAGUUCUUUUCGUGCUCUUUCAAUUGUCGAGAUGCGUAUGCUAUCACCUUUUCUCUUUGGGUCAGAACACAACCCAACCCGACUCCAGAAGCGUCACUAUAAACCGCGAAAUCUUCGACUCCAUCGGGUAGAGAAAGUUUCGGUGCUUCACAUAACUUCUUCUUUAGUUUCUCAAAUGCCUCUUCGUUUUUCUCACUCCACGUAUACGUAGCUCCUUUAUGAGUCAAAGCUGUUAAUGGAGCAGCUAUCGAAGAAAAGCCUUGGAUAAAUCGUCGAUAAUAUCCGGCUAAUCCUAGAAAGCUUCGAAUCUCCGUGGGACUCUUUGGACGUUCCCACUUCAUUACAGCCUCGAUCUUUGCGGGGUCAACCAUUAUUCCCUCCUGGUUAACAACAUGACCCAAGAAUUGGACUUCCCGUAUCCAAAAGUCGCAUUUGGAGAACUUUGCAAAAAGCUUCUCCUUCUUCAACACUUCUAAUACUUCCCGUAGAUGCUUGCCAUGCUCCUCUUGGCUUUUCGAGUAGAUGAGAAUGUCGUCGAUGAACACUAUCACGGAUUUAUCGAGGAAUGGUUUACAAACCCUAUUCAUCAAAUCCAUGAAUGCUGCGGGAGCAUUGGUUAGCCCGAAUGACAUAACCAAGAACUCGUAGUGUCCAUAUCUCGUUCUGAAUGCAGUCUUCUCAAUAUCCUGCUUUCUCACCUUUAGCUGAUGAUAUCCUGACCUAAGAUCGAUCUUUGAGAAGUAGCUCGAACCUUGCAGCUGAUCGAAUAGGUCAUCAAUCCUCGGCAAUGGAUACUUGUUCUUCACCGUUGCCUUAUUCAGCUCUCGGUAGUCUAUACACAUUCUCAUACUUCCGUCCUUCUUCUUCACGAAUAACACCGGAGCUCCCCAGGGUGAUGAACUAGGUCGAAUAAAACCGUUGUCCAACAGCUCCUGAAGUUGCGUCAUGAGCUCCUUCAUCUCCGUCGGUGCUAAUCGGUAAGGUGCCUUUGCUAUCGGUGUUGUUCCUGGUAACAAGUCUAUACGAAACUCCACUUGCCUAUCAGGUGGUAAUCCGGGAAGAUCUUCGGGAAAGACUUCCGGAUAAUCACACACAACCGGUAUAUUCUGCACCUCUUUCUUCUCCUUCUUGGCAUCGAUUACGAAUGCCAAGUAUGAUGCACAUCCUUUGGACAAACAUUUCCUGGCUUUCAUCAGGGAGAUGAUUCCAGAAUUCACUCUGCGUUUGUCCCCAUACACCAUAAAUGAUUCUUUUCCGGGUGGGUUUACCUUUACUAUCUUCUUUCGGCAUUGAAUCUCAGCAUCGUUGGCGCUAAGCCAAUCCAUACCCAAAACGAUGUCGAAACCGUUUAACUCUAUGGGUAAUAGCUCUUCGUGGAAUUCGUUUCCGUUUAGGUCAAUGACGAUGUUCCUAAUACGAUUACUAACAGGUACGAAUUUGCCACUGGCAACUUCUACAAUCAGGGCAUUAUCUAGUUUUUCUACAGGCAAUGCUAAUUUCCCACCAAAUUUAUGCGACACAAAGGAGUAGUUGGCUCCGGAAUCAAAUAGUAUAUUUGCAGGCAAACCAUUUACAAGAAAGGUACCUGAAGCGACGUCUGCUGCCUCCUUUGCAGCCUCGAGCGUCAUCUGGAAGGCUCUCGCCUUCGGCUUCGGUGGUAUGUUGGGUCUUCCUGUCUCCUUCUUCUUCGGGCAGUCCUUCAAAAUGUGCCCUUCUUCAUUGCACCCAUAACAGGCUUUCUGGUUGAGGGUGCAUUCAUUGGCGUAGUGCCCAGGCUUUCCGCACUUGUAACAAGUGACCCCUCCGUCACACUUCCCAGAGUGCUUCUUCUUGCACUUGUCACACCACUUCGCUUCUGAUCCUCCUCCCCUCGAACCAGACUUCGAGAAUCUACUCUUCUUGUUGGACUUCGAGGAUCCAUUGAACUUCCGUUUCUCACCAACCUCAGCCCUCUCCAGACCUCUUUCCUUUUGUUGGGUCUCCACGUUCUUAGCUGCUCGAACAGCUGAUUUCAGAGUGGUUGCCAUCUUGACUGUUGGGCCAAAGUCAGCCGGCAGUCCGUUUGCGAAUUUCUCAAUUUUGGAAAGUUCGGUUGGCACUAGGUAUGGAAACAACUUCAUCUUUUCCGUAAAUGCAGCAGCAUAGUCAUCGAUGCUCAUUCUCCCCUUCUUCAAAUUUUGGAACUCAUUGUUCAGAUCAAUCAGGUCUAUCUCUGAACAGUACUGCGCCUUCAGUUGUUCCAAGAACUCAUCCCAUGACAUUUUCAGAGCUUCUCCCCGUGGCAUUGUAUCUGCCAAUAGCUUCCACCAGCUCAAGACUCCAGUUUUCAAUUGUCUCACAGCGAAGACAGUCUUCUGCUUCUCGCUGCAGUCGCAGCUCUCAAACACCAUCUCCAUCUCGGAGAUCCAGUCCAUAAUCUCAACAGGCUUUGGGCUUCCUGAGAGACUUGGUGGUUUCGCACCCAAGAAAUUUUUGUACAUCCGCCCAUCCUUGUUGUUUCUCCCUUCUGGGCCAUCCUUUUGCUCACCUUGAGUCCCUACUUGACUCACUUGGCGGCUAUAGUUCCCUUCCUCAGAUGGCUCGGGAACUGGCUCCGUCGGUUCAACAUGUAUGGUAGGUUCGUCCCUAUUUUCGUGGAGCAUCCGUCUCAUUUCUUCCCUUUGUUCAGCUAGCAUAGCCUGAAUCAUGGCUUGAACUCCAGCCAUGGUGACUGGCUCAGGUGCAACUUCUUCAACAACAGGUAUUUGCUGAACCACUGGGGGUUGGUUCCUACCUCCAUUUGCGUUCACGUUUCCGCUACGGGUCCUUGCCAUCUUGAUCUAUACACCGAAUAAGGUGAAUUUAGAUCUUUAUUUAGGAUAGACGUUUUAAAUCGUCCUUAUCACUCCGAAACGUUUACAUGCUAGUUCUAAUAUCGUAGUCGUACGUUUAGAAUCCUAAACACAUAAGGUUUCCAGAUCCGGUCGGCAACAGACCAUAGAUCCGAACAAUUAACAGCAUAUUAUGCACAAAGCAUUUAGCACAUAAAAGCAUUUUAGGCACAAUUCCUAAAAUAAGCUAGUGCUCACACCUCACAAUCAUCGCUUAGCAUUCUAAGUUUAAGUCUAGAAAUCCUACAAAUUCCUAGUUCGCUUAAACUAAUGCUCUGAUACCAACUGUGACAUCCCCAAAAUCACGGCCAGAAAAGACCGGUUUGUUUAUGCUUUGUUUAAAAAUCAGAGUUACAUUUUAAAUGAAAGUGUUGCGGAAUUUGUCCCAAAACAAAAAUAUGAUAAAGAUUUAUCAAAAGCAUUUCCAUAGAAAUGUAUUUCAUUAAAAGACUCGGGAUGUCAUGUUCGUACAGAUCAAAAGCAUAAACAGUACAAUAUAAGCCUUACUACAUUAUUUCAUAUCUACAGGCCUAUAUCCGUAAUCCCUCGUCCAAAACAUCACACCUAUGCUCAUGCGCCACUACCUGUAAUACAUAAAACUGAGUGGGUCAGGCUUGGGAGCCUGGUGAGCACAUAGGGUUUUCAACCCACAAUAAAUAAGUUUAUUAAUUUCAUCGAUCAACAAUAACCCGAUUACCCGUUCCCGUUAUCCUCACUUUACGUCCCUAAACACCUAUCAUAAGGGACCUAGCCUAAGGAUCAUCAUCGGGACGGACACUACUGCUAAGGGGAUUCCUCAGCAAUAAAUGUCCUAAAGGCAACCAUGUGGGGGAUGGAGUACACCGGUGAACAUAUCGUUCACAAACACCUACAGGUUGCGAGCCUGCUAGUGUUCCACUGGACUGUCUAGAAGAGUCCGUGGUCGUCAUCCAUACUCCGCUAGAUGACAGAAUCAACAACAUCAACAUCGAGGCCUCUCAUCAUUUUAUCACACAUCACCUAUUGCAUCUACCCAUGUUUUACCCCAACAUUUUCGUAGAUAUAAAAUACAUAUACAGUUUAAAUCAUUGAAAACAUGUAUAACAACGUUCAUCUAGCAUAGAUAGCAAGUAUUCAGAUAAUAUGCACACAUAGCACGUAAUUUAUAUAAAAUACUUCAUAUCUAUGUGUAAGUUGAAAGUAACUAUGCACUCACUUGUUAAGGUGAUGAUUCCAAAAUCGGGCAGCGCUUGCUUCUAACGAUUCUAUUUUCCUUCGACGAAACCUAGCAUUAUUAUCGCUAAAUUUUAGUCUAAUAUUUACCGUGACCAACUAUUAGUCUUAGUAUUAUUAUUAUUAUAUAAGCGUUAAACAAUAUUUUCCAACCACUAUGUACAGACAGGGGCCAGACAUAAAACACCGGAGGGCAGGACCAUUUUGGCAUAUAGCACUUCUGAAAUCCAACAACCCUAUGCGGCCCUUUAAACCAGAUUCCCCGUACCGCGAGUAGUUAAAAAAAAAUUUAUAACGACACUUAUAUAAGUUAUAAUAAUAGCUCAAAUAUUUAUUAUAAGUUCAUAAUAACAAUACUAAUUUUAAAUAUAAGCUAUAUUAAAAUAAGGUAAGCAUAACUUACUUACAAGGGGGUUUUAGCUAGGAGUCGGGCUCUGCAGGGGCAGAACUUCGUCGCUGAAUCUUUCUAAGAAAGAUUCGUGCAGCGCUUCAGCGCUCACCUUACUAUACUAAGCUACAGAAAGAGAAGUCGAAUCACGAGGGACCGAAAUGCUCGGGGGAUAAGGAGAGAAAGACUCUUGAAUCAAGAGAAUGGUGCAAGAAAUAUGAGAGCCCAAGGCUCUUAUUUAUACUAAUUGAAUUUUCAAAAACUACCCUCCAUAAUUACUUAAUGACCUUUUAGUUAUAUAAACAACUAAACACCCCUCUAUAAUACUAUUAUAAAUGGAUUUAAUGAUAUUUGUACUAAACUAAUGUCGAAAGAACUCAACAUUAGUCUUAUAAUGACCGCAUCGUCGAUACCUUUCUAAUGAUAUAUACAUAUGUAUAUAUAUGUGUACGUAUACAUGAUUUAUACUUUAUUUUAAUACGUAAAUAUGCUAUUAUAAUUUGUAACUCGUUCAUACGAACUCCGUUUUUGACGUUCUUUAUAUCCACGCGUAGGUGAAGACGUACUCUACAACUUUCGUUUAGACUCCGUCGGCUAAUUUUGACUUUAUUUUUAAAGUUAUAUUUUUAACAAGCCGGGACAGGAUUGGUCUGUUUAAAAUCUCAUAACUUCUUCAUACGAAGUCAGAUUUGGGCGUUCUUUUUAUCGAUGUUCUUAGUUUAACAUAUUCUACGACUUUCGUUUAGAUCACUAAGGCUAAAUCUCGCUCUAUCGUAAAUUCACUAUUCACGCUUCCCGGUAUCGUGCCGGUUCUGUCGUGAAACUUCGACGGGUCAUAACUUCUUCGUUAUAACUCGGAUUUCGGCGUUCCUUAUAUGCACGGAAACCUUGAGACAUAUUCUACAACUUUAUGUAGAGAUAUCGGGAUUAUCUCACACUUUAAUUUUGACGCUCAUUUUUAUUCUUUAUUAAUUAUACAUUUAUAAUUAAAUAAUAAACACAUAUAAUUCACAUAAUACUCAAAUAUUUCAUCUUUAUUACUUCAAAAAGAGUUACAAGAGUUGACCUAGACUAUUACAUUGACAAAAAUGCUUAGCCCUGAAACCCGGGCGUUACAUCGGGGUCCUCUUCAGGUUCCUCUUCGGAUUCUUCCAACCACCUGUUAUUCCCCUGAGAUAGCGACUCAUCAUGUCAUCCUCUGUUUCCCAAGUGAGAUUCGGCCCAUUCGAAUGUUUCCAUCGGACUAGCACCAAGUNUAAUUAUUGUAUAAAUCGAGUUGAUGUUCUCUUCUUGGUAAUAAAGGGGUAUGUCUUUAGGUUUACCUACCAUCGCGAUUUCCUCGGGGCAUGCGAUAGUUGUACCUUAGAGGAAAUGUAGUUGAUCAGGCUACAUUCACUCCUUAAUACGACUAUGAACAGUCCCGGCUUAACCGAAAUGUUAGCAUUAUCUUGUUUGAUUUGGUAUUAUGUUAUAUUUCAUGUGUCUUACGAGUAGGAGUGUUUUAUCGUUGUGUUUACUUGUUUUGUUUUGUUCAGAGUUGUUUUGUAUCUCUUUGGUAUAUAGUUGCAUAUGAAUGUGUGGUUAGAUAUGCUAGUUCACUAUAAACAGAGCUCUGAUACCAACCUGUCACACCCCCGAACCAGACGCCAGAAACAUCCGAGGGAUCGCGUGACUUAUAAUGAAUAUCAUCAUAAUGAAUAUACAUGAAUCAUAACAUAAACGUCACCAUGCAUCAAUAUAAUACAACUGAUAUUGUUCCCAUCAAGUACAUUGUUUUAACGAUUCAAAUCCAUACAUAAAUUGUUUGAUAGUUUACAAAAGCAAAACACCCUAACAUACUUGGUACUUAUUCCUCAGCUUACCUGUUACCUGAGAAUACAAGUUAUUUUGAAAAACAGUCAACAUAUGGAAUGUUGGUGAGUUCAUAAGCAGAUUUUAUUUGAAAAUGCUUUGUGUAGUUUGAACGAAAACAAUCCAGAAAAUCUAAUAUUUUCUGAAAAGACCAUUGUUUAUAAAAAGGUGUGAAGAUCCAUAAAUAUAUGCACGAUGAUUUCAAAACAUGUAUAAUUGAAAAACUUUGUAUUAAACGUACAAGUGAAAUGAUGAACUUCACCAGAAAACCCGAUGUUUUCCAAAAUAAAAAUAUCAUAUAACGGUUUGAAUGGUUAUCCAUCAUGUGAAUGAUUUUGAAUUACCUUGAUUACUUGAUUUAUAUUGGAUUUAUUUAUUUGAGUCGUUAUAACCAUGCAUGAUAAUGACUAGUUCGUCUGUCUUGGCACUCUGGUGAACGCCGGAAUUGAUCUUAAGAUUUUGUUACCCUAGACUGGCCGAGUCUAACUGUAGCGAGCAACUGAGGUGUGGGGGAGUCACCCCCGUAUAGAUCUAUACACAAACUCUCACUCUCCCUCCAAGAGACUUUGAUUAUAACUACAGACUACGACCGACACACGUUGGUGCCACCCGUUAUUACUCACUAAAUCCCAAUUGACUUUGAUUACUAUUGAUUAUCGACCUGUAUUUGUUUACUUUGAUUACGCAUAGGCCUAACAAACGAGGAGAAGAUGAAUACAAGCCCUACUACCUUCGUGAGUUAUUUUAGGUUGUUGGGUAUACGAAGAACACGUUGGCCCAUUUCACAUUUGAUUGCUUGGACCUUACUAGCAAUACUAAUGGGCCAGUAAGGCCCAAUAGCACUUAAAAACCCAUUGACGGUCCCUUAAAUAUGAAAUUGGGUCAUAGAAGGCCCAAUAACAUUUAUAAUUAUCCCUUAGGCCCAAAAAUAAUGUUAAUGGGUCACAAAGGCCCAAUAAGCAUGUUUGGAAACUUUCAAGCCUAAAGAAUUUAAUGUUUACUUGUUUUAGGUAUAGUAUAGUUGUCGGAAUGUUUAAUUGAACAAUUGUUAAAUUUCUAUCGUUAUGAGACCGAUUGGUCAUUUGUAACGGUAUUUGGAAAUUUAUGUAAAUUCAUCUUGUCGUUUUUCAUAAGUUGUAGUUUGGUAUUUUUGACCCAAGUAUCUUAAUAAUAAAAUAAAUUACUCAAAAUAUUGGUUUGACUCAUUUUAGCCCUUCUUUAAUAAAGAUGACAAUUUUAGUCCCUAUUAUAAAUAAAAAAGACAUUUUAAGUCCUUAAAUCAUUUUCUUGACACAUUUGACCUAUAGACUUACUUAAUUGAUAUUUUUAGCCCAAAAUUUACUCUUUGACAGUUUUAGCCCUUCCAAAAAAGUAUUUUUCGGUCAAAGCCCAAACUUUUGCAACUUUUACAAUUUUGGCCAAAAAUCCAAAAUCUUUACAUUUUUGGUCCUUUUUAGUAAAGAAACGCAUUUUAACCCUUGAAAUAAUUUUUGUUUACCUUUUUGUCCCCUGUUUUGAUAAUUUUUUCGUUUUAGCCAUUUGAAAAUCAGAAUUUUCGCAACUUCGGGCUUAAUGGGUCGAAAAGCCCAAAAAUUGGCCCAUUGAGCUAUUAUUUACAUUUCAAGUCCUUUGAAGAGCAUGAUUGUCAAAAAAAACAUUUAUCUUAACUGUUUUGACUCUUUUGACCCUCAAGAAAACCGUGAAUAGCAACUUUUCACCCAACUAUUGUUUAUUUGACAAUUUAAGCCCCAAAAUUUGUUUUAUGUUACAAUAUGUCUAUUUUAAAUCUUAGAGGGUAUUUUUCUUGACUUGUUUAGUGUGGUAUACCUUAGAUCAUGUUUGUUUUCCUUCUUAUAUCAUAGAUCUCGAGAUUUCUUCUUUUUUGUUGCAUAUUUACCACAUAAACACUUACAAUCACACAUACAUGCAUAAAAUCAUACAUAGCACACACAUACACAUAGAUCUACACAUUUUACUUGUAUUCUCCCCCAUAAAAUUUGUAAAAACCAAAAAAGAGAGGGGUAUGAACUCACCUUUGCUUGUUGUUUUUGGUUUAGAAGGAAGAAAUGAAGAAAAUUUGGUCCUAGCAAGCCUUCUUGGAAGAUCUCGAACUUAGAGGUUUCUAAGAUGGUGAUCAUGAGUUUGAAUAAACUUAGGAGGAGAUUUUUGAGGAAAUGAAGUAGUUAGAUCAUGGAUUUAAACACCAACUUACCUUAAAUGUUGAUUUUUGAGGAAGAAGCUCCUUGAAAAGCUCUAAAUCUCGAAAUUUUUAAAGAAUGAGUGCAAGUGUUCUUGAGAGGAUUUGGAAAGAAUAGGAAUCAAUUUUGUGGGUGUGUGUGUGUCUCCUCUCGGCCGAGAAUUAAGAAUAAGAAGAAGAGAGAGGGUUGAGGUGACCAUCAUAGAUGCAUGUUGGUCCAUGCAUGGAAGUAUGUGGUGUAUUAAUGAGGUGGCAAUCUUAGAGUCAACUCUUUUCUCCUCAUGUUUUGUGGUUUGGGCCGAGAGAGGGAGAAGAAAGAAAAGAGAUUGGGCCUUUUUAUGCUUAAGCCCAUAUUAUGAUCCAAUUAGAUGAUUUUUGGUCCAAUUGAUCCUUGGAAGAGGGUUCACGGCCAUUUAAGGUCCAAUAAGGUCCAUUAGGGUAUUUUAUUUCAUUCUAGGCCCAAUAUGGCCCAAAAUAUUAAAAUAAAUGGGAGUGGGUCCAAUUAGAGCCCAUUUAAGAGUUCGAAGCCCAAGAUAGUCAAAUUGGAAGCUUAUUGGCCCAUUGGGCCCAAUAAGGAAGUCCUAGUCCAAAAUGGAUUUAAACCGGGAUUUCAAGGGUUUCCAAUUCUUUGUUGACUAUUUGCAGUGCUUGUAUAAAGUGUUUGAUGGAAGUUUUGUUGUUAUUGAAUAAGCAUCAUACAUGCUUUCACAUUUUUUGUUCACAUUUGUUAUCAUUGUUGUUGUCACAAGUAACUUUAUGAUACUUCUUAACUAACAAUCCUCUAAUAUACAACUCUUUAUUUUGAUUAGUACUUUCACUAUGGCAAACCUUAGCAAACUUGAGUUUAUGGCUCUUGACAUUAGUGGAAAAAAUUAUUUAUCAUGGAUCCUUGAUGCUGAAAUCCACCUUGAUGCUAUGGGGGUUGGAAACACCAUAAAGGAUGUAAAUCCUUUAAAUGAAGCAUCAAGCCAAGAAAAGGCUAAGGCGAUGAUUUUCCUUCGCCACCAUCUCGAUGAUGGAUUAAAAGCUAAAUACCUUACUAUAAAAG
rnacentral:lncRNA from 1 species